AUUGAACGCUGGCGGCAGGCCUAACACAUGCAAGUCGAACGAGUGGCGGACGGGUGAGUAAUGUCUGGGAAACUGCCUGAUGGAGGGGGAUAACUACUGGAAACGGUAGCUAAUACCGCAUACCAUCGGAUGUGCCCAGAUGGGAUUAGCUAGUAGGUGGGGUAAAGGCUCACCUAGGCGACGAUCCCUAGCUGGUCUGAGAGGAUGACCAGCCACACUGUAACUGAGACACGGUCCAGAGGCCUACGUGAGGCAGCGGUGGGGAAUAUUGCACAAUGGGCGAAAGCCUGAAGCAGCCAUGCCGCGUGGAUGAAGAAGGCCUUCGGGUUGUAGGGUUCUUUCAUCGGGGAGGCGUUACCCGCAGAAGAAGCGCCGGCUAACUCCGUGCCAGCAGCCGCGGUAAUUC
rnacentral:rRNA from 1 species